GGACACACCUGGCAACGGAUGUGACAUUCAGCACUGCCCAAGUUUCUUCCACUUGGAGGAGGCAAACUGGUGAAUGGAAGGAGGCAAUCCUCUGGCAGUGGGAUGCUGGAAGUGAUAAUAAGGCAAGUUUGCUAGCCUGAAGGCUGCUGGUAUCCAUGGUUGGAAGCUGGUGGAUGUCUCAUGAUGGACCUAACAGAAGCUGGCAGAUAUUGGUGGAUGGAAGCCACAGACAGCUUUCUGGAUCAUGUGGCCAGCAGGACUAAACCACUUCUGGCGCAACGGGACACUGUGACAGAAACCAGAGUGCAUGGAAAUGCUAUUUACCUUCCCGCUGCGGCUGUGCCUAUUUAUCUACUUGCACUGGCAUGCUUUCGAACUGCUAGGUUGGCAGGAGCUGGGACACAGCAACGGGAGCUCACCCCGUCACGGGGAUUUGAACCACCGACCUUCUGAUCGGCAAACCCAAGAGGCUCAGUGGUUUAGACCACAGCGCCACCCGCAUCCCAAUGCACAUAUCUUUACCUAUAGGCGUUCUUUCUCAUGAAUACCCAGCAAAAAGAGAUCAAACAUUCUUAUCCAUGAAGGAAAUGGAAUCAUAGGCUCUUCCAUGUGGGUUUCUUUAAACCAGUUUGUAUACAGUGGUACCUUGGGUUAAGAACUUAAUUCGUUCCAGAGGUCCAUUCUUAACUUGAAGCUGUUCUUAACCUGAGGUACCACUUUAGCUAAUGGGGCCUCCCGCUGCCACCGCGCCGCUGCUGCUCAAUUUAUGUUCUCAUCCUGAAGCAAAGUUCUUAACCCGAGGUACUAUUUCUGGGUUAGCGGAGUUUGUAACCUGAAGCGUCUGUAACCUGAAGCGUCUGUAACCCGAGGUACCACUGUAUUGCUUAAUGCCCAAAUAGGUUACUUACAAACAUGUAAUGCUGAAUGGAUAAGACACAUGUAUGUUAAGUGAUUCGGUUAAUUAUAUAAGAAUUUUGAUUUGGAAAACCGUUAAAAUUAUAUACAUUGAAAUUCAACUGGGGGAUACGAGGAAGUCACUUAACAGUUUUAAUAAGGUAAUGAUUUAUGUUUGUUUGUUUAUUUGUUUGUGUGUUUAUAAUUUGUGAAAAUCAAUUUAAAAAAUGGGGGGAAACAAAUAGCUUACUUACAGGUUUAAAAAAUAUGUAAGCCACUUACACAACACAAAACAUUCAAUAUUUAAAAGGAGGACUAAAAUCUAAUUUAAAUGACACAAUGAGGGAAACAACAGACUCAGAUCAAGAGAGGUAUCUUCCAAGCCGACAGAAUGCCAAUACAGAUGGGGGCCUCUCGUAUUUCAUCUGGGAGUGUUUUGGAGGAAAGGUGGUGGUGAUGGUAGCGUCAAAGGCAAAAGAGCCCUCCUCCCCAUCUUUGUUGCCAAAUUGUUGUACAGUAAGAAUUUCCAAAUGCCAGAGACAAAGGCUUAAAGCUUCAUUAUACCAGCAGCUUACUCAUUCACAGAUCAGCGUGAUUACUUAUCAUCAUCCUACACACAAAACUGAAUGCAAGCCCAUGAAAUGGUUGAGAAUAACAGCCUCUGUAUGGGCUGCUCUCCUUAGAACACAUGUGGAAGUGGAAGUUCCGAUUCCGUGGGGAUUGCAUUGUUUCUUAUGUAUUCUGUUACUUUGAACUGUGAUCCUGUAUGAGCUUCACUUAUCCCAGUGACUCACAGCUCAGAUUCACUGACUGCAUUUCAAAGAGAGUAGUAUCACUCCUGUUGCUGACAAAUUAUUCUAUAUGGUGCUGACUCAAUAGGCCAGCUGACUAACAGAACAUUCUAAGCGAUGAGCCUGUUGUCAAUCAGUGCAGAUGCUCUGCUUUAAUUGGUGUUUUCCUUGAAUUGCUAACCUCCAGCUAUGGAAAGCUGCCUCUUGUCUCCCAUGUUUUUAAAUGCUCCCUCUUCUUUCUUCCUCUCAGAAAGAAAUUCAUUGGAGUGGGUUGUGGCAGCAAAUGAAGAACACAGUGUAAAAUAGAAACUCAUUGCAUUUUCCCAGAAAAUGUUCGCAGAACAAGUUCGGAGGAAGUGGGACUACAGCACAUGUCAUGCAGUAUAGACCUGGGACUUUAAUUCAGCUUUGUGGCAAGUCAGUCUUUGCUGAGAGGUCAGAAUAACAUGACUUUGCCGGAGAGUUUUUGCACAAUAAAUUGAGUGCUCCUCCCAUGGCACCAAAAGGCCAGGCACAGCUUUGCUCUUGAAUCAAGCUCAUAGGAGCCAAAUCCAUGGGGCCAUGCGUGCUUGGGAACCCAAAAAAUAUAAAAUUGUGGGGGGUGAGCACCCACAAACUCAAUGAGCUCAGCCAGCAGGCAGCAGUGGCGCUGCCUCCAAGAGAGAAGCAAUUCAGCUCCGCCUUCCACAGCCAGGAAGCAAGGCACCCUUUCUGGGGGUGUGGGCCUCAGACAUGGAGGCAGAGUCUCUCUGCCUCCAAGUCUGAGCCCCUCCCCAUGGAAAAUAGUGUCUCACUGGCUGAGGAGAGGAGGAGUAAUAAGAUCAUUAAGUUCGCAGAUGAUACAACGGUGGUUGGUUUAAUCAUGGCUGGAGAGGGGGAGGCGGCCUAUAGGAAGGAAGUUGAGCAGGUGGGGGAGUGGUGCAGGAAAAACAACUUACUCCUUAACUUAAAGAAAAGAAAAGAGAUUAUUGUGGACUUUAGGAAAUGUAAAUUGAAUAUUCAGCCACUUAAUUUAUUAUUGAGGGGAAGUGCAUGGAACAGGUCUUGGUUUUCGAUUUCUGGGAGUGGAAUUGAGAGAUGACCUAACCUGGGGAGAAAACAGCAAAGACCUGAUGAAGAGAGCACAGCAGAGGUUAUAUUUUCUGAGAAUCCUCCGGAAAAACAAUCUCUCAAAGGGCCUGUUGAUGGCAUUUUACCAUUGUACUGUGGAGAGUGUAUUAACUUAUGGUCUGUGUGUGUGGUUUCGGAGCUGCACGGUCAGGGGGAAAACAAUGCUGUCCAGGGUUGUAAAGACUGUGGAGAGAAUAAUUGGGUGCACUCUUCCCUCCUUGGAUCAAAUCUAUGCUUCCAAGUGCCAUAAGAAAGCUGCAGAGAUAGUGCGGGAUAGUGUGCACCCCAGAAAUGAUCUCUUUCAGCUUCUGCCUUCUCGAAGAAGGUACAGGUUUAUAAAGACUAGGACUAGCCGCCUGAGAAACAGUUUCUAUCCAAAUGCGAUUUUGGUUUUAAACGCAGUGUAAGGAGUCUCUAUGGGAGUAUAUUGUAUUUAAAAACGGGGUAUCAGAGUUUUUAGGGGGCUAACCAGGUUGGGAUGGCUGGGAUAGCAAGCUUGUUGGUUCUGAAUGUCUUAUGUGGAUUUUUCAGUUUCAUUCUUCUGUAUGGGACAAUGACAAUAAAGAUUAUCGUAUCGUGAAGAGGAGACACCACUGCCACCAGCCACAGCAACACAGAUGUGCAACAUCACAUAUACACGCCUGCACAUAGUGCUUGUGAUGUCACAUUCAAUAUGUGCAGGCAUGUGCGUGUGAUGGCACACAUCUGCAUUAUGGUGGCAGGCACCCACAACCUUGAGGGGGCAAUGGCACCCCUGGUCAAGGUUCACUGGUAUUUCAAAGCAUGGACCUCUACAGCUUGCACUAAUGGUUGAAAAGAUUCGUCUUCUGCCACACUGGACAAUAUCAGUGUGGUAUAUGUAGGGUUGGGGAAGAUAUUAAAUGUCAGUCAGCAUUUAAAAAUGCAACCUUCCGAAUUCACUUCUAAAACAAUUCAAAAACUGAAACACAGCCAAGCUUCUAAAUUCACACUGCUCCGAAUUUUUGAAAUGCAAUUUUCGAAAUUCACACUGCUCCGAAUUUUUGAAAUGCAAUUUUCCAGCCACAUAAUUCAUGCAAAAAUGCAUGCAAAGUGUGAAUAAAAAUCAGGGUGGUCUGUUCUGUUUUGCUGUUGGCAGAAUGGGAAGCUGCUCCCCCCCAGAGUCAUUUGGCUGCAGCAGUAGCAGCUUCCAGGUUCCGGCAAGAUCUCAUGAAAAG